rnacentral:hammerhead_ribozyme from 1 species
ACCUAAAUGACGAGUCCCAUAUGGGACGAAACGCAAGUCAUAGAU